rnacentral:misc_RNA from 1 species
GAUGAAGAACGUAGCGAAAUGCGAUAAGUAAUGUGAAUUGCAGAAUUCAGUGAAUCAUCGAAUCUUUGAACGCACAUUGCGCCCGCCAGUAUUCUGGCGGGCAUGCCUGUUCGAGCGUCAUUACAACCCUCAGGCCCCCGGGCCUGGCGUUGGGGAUCGGCGGAAGCCCCCUGCGGGCACAACGCCGUCCCCCAAAUACAGUGGCGGUCCCGCCGCAGCUUCCAUUGCGUAGUAGCUAACACCUCGCAACUGGAGAGCGGCGCGGCCACGCCGUAAAACACCCAACUUCUGAAUGUUGACCUCGAAUCAGGUAGGAGUACCCGCUGAACUUAAGCAUAUCAAUAAGCGGAGA